rnacentral:snRNA from 1 species
GGCGGAAGCGUCGUUCGGA